CCUACGGGAGGCAGCAGUGAGGAAUAUUGGUCAAUGGCCGUAAGGCUGAACCAGCCAAGUAGCGUGAGGGAAGACUGCCCUAUGGGUUGUAAACCUCUUUUAUGCGGGGGUAAAGGUGUCCACGUGUGGAUGUUUGCAGGUACAGCAUGAAUCCGGACCGGUUAAUUCCGUGCCAGCAGCCGCGGUAAUACGGAAGGUCCGGGCGUUAUCCGGAUUUAUUGGGUUUAACGGGAGCGUAGGCCGGUCUUUAAGCGUGCCGUGAAAUUUUGUGGCUCAACCAUGGGAGUGCGGCGCGAACUGGAGACCUGGAGUGCGCGGAAGGCAGGCGGAAUUCGUGGUGUAGCGGUGAAAUGCUUAGAUAUCACGAAGAACCCCGAUUGCGAAGGCAGCCUGCCGCAGCGUUACUGACGCUGAAGCUCGAAAGCGCGGGGAUCGAACAGGAUUAGAUACCCGGGUAGUC
rnacentral:rRNA from 1 species